rnacentral:rRNA from 1 species
GACGAACGCUGGCUGCGUGCUUAACACAUGCAAGUCGAACGGUAAGGCUCCAGCUUGCUGGGGUACACGAGUGGCGAACGGGUGAGUAACACGUGGGUGACCUGCCCUGCACUUCGGGAUAAGCCUGGGAAACUGGGUCUAAUACCGGAUAGGACCGCACCGUGAGGGUGUGGUGGAAAGUUUUUUCGGUGUGGGAUGGGCCCGCGGCCUAUCAGCUUGUUGGUGGGGUAAUGGCCUACCAAGGCGGCGACGGGUAGCCGGCCUGAGAGGGUGGACGGCCACAUUGGGACUGAGACACGGCCCAGACUCCUACGGGAGGCAGCAGUGGGGAAUAUUGCACAAUGGGCGGAAGCCUGAUGCAGCGACGCCGCGUGGGGGAUGACGGCCUUCGGGUUGUAAACUCCUUUCACCAUCGACGAAGGGUUUCUGACGGUAGGUGGAGAAGAAGCACCGGCUAACUACGUGCCAGCAGCCGCGGUAAUACGUAGGGUGCGAGCGUUGUCCGGAAUUACUGGGCGUAAAGAGCUCGUAGGUGGUUUGUCGCGUCGUCUGUGAAAUUCCGGGGCUUAACUCCGGGCGUGCAGGCGAUACGGGCAUAACUUGAGUACUGUAGGGGAGACUGGAAUUCCUGGUGUAGCGGUGAAAUGCGCAGAUAUCAGGAGGAACACCGGUGGCGAAGGCGGGUCUCUGGGCAGUAACUGACGCUGAGGAGCGAAAGCAUGUGGAGCGAACAGGAUUAGAUACCCUGGUAGUCCAUGCCGUAAACGGUGGGCGCUAGGUGUGGGUUUCCUUCCACGGGAUCCGUGCCGUAGCUAACGCAUUAAGCGCCCCGCCUGGGGAGUACGGCCGCAAGGCUAAAACUCAAAGGAAUUGACGGGGGCCCGCACAAGCGGCGGAGCAUGUGGAUUAAUUCGAUGCAACGCGAAGAACCUUACCUGGGCUUGACAUAUACAGGAUCGCGCCAGAGAUGGUGUUUCCCUUGUGGCUUGUAUACAGGUGGUGCAUGGUUGUCGUCAGCUCGUGUCGUGAGAUGUUGGGUUAAGUCCCGCAACGAGCGCAACCCUUGUCUUAUGUUGCCAGCACGUUGUGGUGGGGACUCGUAAGAAACUGCCGGGGUUAACUCGGAGGAAGGUGGGGAUGACGUCAAAUCAUCAUGCCCCUUAUGUCCAGGGCUUCACACAUGCUACAAUGGUCGGUACAGUGGGUUGCCAGUCCGUGAGGGCGAGCUAAUCCCGCAAAGCCGGUCUCAGUUCGGAUCGGGGUCUGCAACUCGACCCCGUGAAGUCGGAGUCGCUAGUAAUCGCAGAUCAGCAACGCUGCGGUGAAUACGUUUCCGGG